ensembl:lncRNA
UAAGAACGGAUACAGCUGCAUCACACGAGCGCUUUGUUAGAUGCACUAUUUUCCUUCUGUGCCUUUUCCAUAAUUCCAGAAGAAGCACUCUGCAAGGCAGUCAACGAGCAUAUGCUGUACAUGUUUCUAUGUUUCCUCAGCUGGGACUGAGGGAGAAGUCAGGAUGGCAAGGGGUCCUGCCCACCUCUGCAGGUUAUUUCAGUGAUCUUCCUUGGAGCUAACCCGAGCUAGCAACAGUGUUGGCACAGGUACACGUGACUGCAGCAGAGAUGGUAACAAAAAGGUAUCUAUCUUAAAAGUAUAUUAUUUUAAAGUUAGUUUUGAUGGAAUGGUAGAAUCACAGAAUGACUUGGGUUGAAAGGGGCCUUAAAGAUCAUCUAGUUCCAACCCUCAGUCAUGGGCAGGGCUGCAACCCACUAGAUCAGGCUGCUCAGGGCCCCAUCCAGCCUGUCCUUGAAUGUCUCCAGGGAUCCAUAGCUUCUCUUGGCAGCCUGUGCCAUUGUCUCACCUCUUCCAUAAUAAUUUCUUUCUUUCUAUUAUCUGAUCUAAAUCUACUCUCUUAUAGAUUAAAGACAUUACCCCUUCUCCUAUCACUGCACACCCCGAUAAAGAGCCUCUCUUCACAUUUCCUGUGUGCCCCAUUUAGGCUGGAAAGCUCUUCUUCUCUAGUCUCCGUAACCCCAGAUGCAGUGUGUGAUGAAUGGACUUGAUGGCUUCUUAAAGCACCUUCCAGAGCAACACAUACAUUUUUAAAACAACUUUCUUCCAGUCGCUAGUUACUAUACUUAAUCCAAAUUAUUUAGUUAUAUGUUCAGUGCUUAUCCUGGUAAUUGCUGAGAAGACCAGGUGGUUGCAGCCAGCAUAAAUUCAUCCACAGCUUCUAAGAAGAAUUUCAAGUACAAAACAGUUCUCAACUGAGCAAGUAGCAAAAGGUGACAAAAUGUACUUUUUCACUGAGUGUUGUAGACUGAGGUGCUUUAUCUUUAUAACUACCCAUCUAAAUAAUAGCAUCAACAACAGUAAUAAUAAUAAUAAUAAUGAUAGUCUGUAUCUACAGGUUUGUGGCAGACAAAUCUUCUAGGUGGCACUGUCAAUUCUUAGUUAGAUAUUGUUACUCUUGAGGUAUGUGCUGGGUGAAGUUAUAUGAGGUAACUGUUUUUGGGCUAUCUCCUACUUUUCUAGCGUCUUGGGUUGGUUGGUUGGUUGGUUUUUUUUAUUCUUCAUUUGCAUUACCUGCUUUUCAAUUCCAACACCAUCUCUGUGCAGAUCCAUAGCUCUGUACAAGAAAACAAAAAUACAAAAUCAAUAGGCGGUAACUAUCUGUCAUUUUUAUGAAAAAUAUUAAAAAAAA